rnacentral:misc_RNA from 1 species
CGCCUUCUGUGGUAACGGGUCAUACGAGUUCAUUAUUAUCGAUAACUAAGUGACGAUUAUUUAGGUAAUAGAAUAUAUAUAUAUAUAUAUAUGUUGAGACACAUAUCUGUAUAAGUGAACAUUUUACCAAGUUUACUACACUGGGAAAGGAAUAUUUAAACGAGUGAUUCGCAUUGCGCAAUAUCGUGUUAAUCAGGCAAAGGUAAAAAAAUUGAACGCGUGUUUAACCCUUCCUCCCAGAAAACAUGUGCAGAAGAGAGAGAAAAAUGUGAAGAAUAAAAAAUAAAAAAAAGAAAGAUUGUAGAUAUGAAGAAAGAGAGUGAUUUGUGAUUUAAUUGCUCGAACAAUGGAACAUAGGAAUUUCGCGCCUUCGUAAAUCAGGGAAGAUGCACAUCGCCGACGCGUGGGUCUGUGCAAGAUUUGCAACAUAUCACGGCGCCAGAGACCAUGCUGCUGCUGAUGAUGAUGAUGAUGAUGAUGAUAAUGAUGAUGAUGACUCGCAUGGUCACCCAUUUCCUGGAGGAAGUGCUUGCAGCAGUAUCUCAGCAGCUUGGAAUUAGAGCCAUACAACUGUACACUCCGUGGCAGACUUUCAGAAGACCCAGGGGCUUAUCAGAGAUGAUGACACUCUGUAUGAGUCGGAAGGUGAAGACUUUGUACUCCCUGUCCAGCCUUGUUCGACCCCCAGGCCAUGAGAGGACAUCACUCUUCCUGCAGUCUGUGUUUGGACCCUCCUUAACUUGAAGGCGGCGCGAAAGUGCGCAUGCGUGCAUGCAACAGCGAGGGGACCCACAAUUUCCACUGUGCAGUCUGUACUUCAGUGUCGACAAAAUAAAGUGUGCAUUGGAUAUACCACGGAUCUCCAGGCAGACGUGGUCGGAGAAAGCAGAGAAAGGUGACAACAAGUCAACGUUUGAAUAAAAAAGACACACACCAUCUGAAAGUCGGCGGAGAAAGACAGCACAGCCUGGAAACUCCUUACCUGCAUAUACCAGUGAUCUCG